rnacentral:rRNA from 1 species
UGAACGCUGGCGGUAUGCUUAACACAUGCAAGUCGAACGGAAACGAUACUAGCUUGCUAGUAGGCGUCGAGUGGCGGACGGGUGAGUAACGCGUAGGAAUCUGCCUGAUAGUGGGGGAUAGCCCGAAGAAAUUCGGAUUAAUACCGCAUAAUCUAUUCGUAGUAAAGUGGGGGACUUUCGAGCCUCACGCUAUCAGAUGAGCCUGCGUAAGAUUAGCUUGUUGGUAGGGUAAAAGCCUACCAAGGCGACGAUCUUUAGCUGGUCUGAGAGGAUGAUCAGCCACAUCGGGACUGAGACACGGCCCGAACUCCUACGGGAGGCAGCAGUGGGGAAUAUUGGACAAUGGGGGCAACCCUGAUCCAGCAAUACCGCGUGUGUGAAGAAGGCCUGAGGGUUGUAAAGCACUUUCAAUUGUGAAGAAAAGUUAGCGGUUAAUAACCGUUAGCCUUGACGUUAACUUUAGAAGAAGCACCGGCUAACUCCGUGCCAGCAGCCGCGGUAAUACGGAGGGUGCAAGCGUUAAUCGGAAUUACUGGGCGUAAAGCGUGCGUAGGCGGUUUAUUAAGUCAGAUGUGAAAGCCCCGGGCUUAACCUGGGAACUGCAUUUGAAACUGGUCAACUAGAGUAUGGUAGAGGAAAGUGGAAUUUCUGGUGUAGCGGUGAAAUGCGUAGAUAUCAGAAGGAACAUCAAUGGCGAAAGGCAGCUUUCUGGACCAAUACUGACGCUGAGGUACGAAAGCGUGGGUAGCAAACAGGAUUAGAUACCCUGGUAGUCCACGCCGUAAACGAUGAUAACUAGCCGUUGGGGGGAUUUACCCUUUAGUGGCGAAGCUAACGCGUUAAGUUAUCCGCCUGGGGAGUACGGCCGCAAGGUUAAAACUCAAAGGAAUUGACGGGGACCCGCACAAGCGGUGGAGCAUGUGGUUUAAUUCGAUGCAACGCGAAGAACCUUACCUGGUCUUGACAUCCUGCGAACUUUCUAGAAAUAGAUUGGUGCCUUCGGGAACGCAGUGACAGGUGCUGCAUGGCUGUCGUCAGCUCGUGUCGUGAGAUGUUGGGUUAAGUCCCGUAACGAGCGCAACCCCUAUCCUUAUUUGCCAGCACAUCAUGGUGGGAACUAUAAGGAGACUGCCGGUGAUAAACCGGAGGAAGGCGGGGACGACGUCAAGUCAUCAUGGCCCUUACGACCAGGGCUACACACGUGCUACAAUGGGAAGGACAAAGAGCCGCGAAGCCGCGAGGUGUAGCUAAUCUCAUAAACCUUUUCGUAGUCCGGAUUGGAGUCUGCAACUCGACUCCAUGAAGUCGGAAUCGCUAGUAAUCGUAGAUCAGAAUGCUACGGUGAAUACGUUCCCGGGUCUUGUACACACCGC